GGGGCCGAUUUGGAUUCGACGACGGUUACAAAACUUGAGGGGCAUGCCGAGUUGGUAGCAGAUCUCGUAAAUUCGCUGCUGCACAUUUAUAGUUGCCAACGACGACAACUACGCACUAGCCGCUUAAGCCGGCUAGCGGUCACCAGGGGAUGCCUGUAAACCCGAAGUUGACCGACAGAUAGAACAGGAUCGCCGCCAAGUUUGCUGUAGACGUAACGGCUAAAACUUAUACAGCUCGCUCCAAGCACCCUGCCACUCGGGCGGCGCGGAGUUA
rnacentral:tmRNA from 1 species